GACGAACGCUGGCGGCGUGCUUAACACAUGCAAGUCGAGCGGGAGUUGCCUUUCGGGGUAACUUCUAGCGGCGGACGGGUGAGUAACGCGUGAGCAAUCUUUCCUCCACUGGGGAAUAACACAGGGAAACUUGUACUAAUACCGCAUGAGACCACAGCAUCGCAUGGUGCAGGGGUCAAAGAUUUAUCGGUGGAGGGUGAGCUCGCGUCCGAUUAGGUAGUUGGUGAGGUAACGGCCCACCAAGCCGACGAUCGGUAGCCGACCUGAGAGGGUGAUCGGCCACAUUGGGACUGAGACACGGCCCAGACUCCUACGGGAGGCAGCAGUGGGGAAUAUUGCACAAUGGGGGAAACCCUGAUGCAGCAAUGCCGCGUGAGGG
rnacentral:rRNA from 1 species